AUUGAACGCUGGCGGCAGGCCUAACACAUGCAAGUCGAGCGGACGAAGGGAGCUUGCUCCUGGCUUAUGCGACCGACGGGCGAGUAAUGCAUAGGUAUAUGCCUGGUAGUGGGGGCUAACGUCCGGUAACGGGAGCUAAUCUCGCAUACGUCCUGAGGGUGAACGUCGGGGUUCUUCGGACAUCACGCUUCUUGCUGUGCCUAGGUCGGAUUAGCUAGUUGGUGGGGUAAAGGCCUACCAAGGCGACGAUCCGUAACUGGUCUGAGAGGAUGAUCAGUCACACUGGAACUGAGACACGGUCCAGACUCCUACGGGAGGCAGCAGUGGGGAAUAUUCGACAAUGGGCGAAAGCCUGAUCCAGCCACGCCGCGUGUGUGAAGAAGGUCUUCGGAUUGUAAAGCACUGUAAGUUGGGAGGAAGAUCAGUAAGUGAAAACCUUCCAAUCUUGACGUUACCAACAGAGAAAGCACCGGCUAACUUCGUG
rnacentral:rRNA from 1 species